UGGGGGAUCGUCUAAUGGUAGGACUGCGCCCUUUGGAGGCGCCUAUCUUGGUUCGAAUCCAAGUCCCCCAG
rnacentral:tRNA from 1 species